AUUGAACGCUGGCGGAAUGCUUUACACAUGCAAGUCGAGCGGCAGCGCGGGGCAACCUGGCGGCGAGCGGCGAACGGGUGAGUAAUACAUCGGAACGUGCCCAGACGUGGGGGGAUAACUACUCGAAAGAGUGGCUAAUACCGCAUACGAUCUAAGGAUGAAAGCGGGGGAUCGCAAGACCUCGCGCGUUUGGAGCGGCCGAUGGCAGAUUAGGUAGUUGGUGGGGUAAAGGCUUACCAAGCCCGCGAUCUGUAGCUGGUCUGAGAGGAUGAUCAGCCACACUGGGACUGAGACACGGCCCAGACUCCUACGGGAGGCAGCAGUGGGGAAUUUUGGACAAUGGGCGAAAGCCUGAUCCAGCCAUUCCGCGUGCAGGAUGAAGGCCCUCGGGUUGUAAACUGCUUUGUACAGAACAAAAAAGACUCUUUCUAAUACAGAGAGUCCAUGACGGUACUGUAAGAAUAAGCACCGGCUAACUACGUGCCA
rnacentral:rRNA from 1 species